rnacentral:rRNA from 1 species
AACGAACGCUGGCGGCGUGCUUAACACAUGCAAGUCGAGUGCGCGUGCCGUAGCAAUACGGUAUGGCGCACGGCGCACGGGUGCGUAACACGUGGGCAAUCUGCCCUCCAGUGGGGAAUAACCCCGCGAAAGCGGGGCUAAUUCCGCAUAACAUUCCCUGGACUCUGGUUCGGGGAUUCAAAGCAGUAAUGCGCCGGAGGAGGAGCCCGCGCCCGAUUAGCUAGUUGGUGAGGUGACGGCUCACCAAGGCAAUGAUCGGUAGCUGGUCUGAGAGGAUGGCCAGCCACACUAGAACUGAGACACGGUCCAGACUCCUACGGGAGGCAGCAGUGGGGAAUCUUGCGCAAUGGGCGAAAGCCUGACGCAGCGACGCCGCGUGGGGGAUGAAGCUUCUCGGAGUGUAAACCCCUUUCGACCGGGACGAAUGCCCGCAAGGGAGUGACGGUACCGGUAGAAGAAGCCCCGGCUAACUACGUGCCAGCAGCCGCGGUAAGACGUAGGGGGCCAGCGUUGUUCGGAAUUACUGGGUGUAAAGGGUUCGUAGGCGGUGUGGCAAGUCGGGAGUGAAAUUUCUGGGCUUAACUCAGAAGCUGCUUCCGAGACUGCUGUGCUAGAGUGCGGGAGAGGCGCGUGGAAUUGCAGGUGUAGCGGUGAAAUGCGUAGAUAUCUGCAGGAACACCCGUGGCGAAAGCGGCGCGCUGGACCGUUACUGACGCUGAGGAACGAAAGCUAGGGGAGCAAACAGGAUUAGAUACCCUGGUAGUCCUAGCCGUAAACGGUGCACGUUUGCUGUAAAAGGAAUCGACCCCUUUUGUGGCGGAGCCAACGCGUUAAACGUGCCGCCUGGGAAGUACGGUCGCAAGAUUAAAACUCAAAGAAAUUGACGGGGGCCUGCACAAGCGGUGGAGUAUGUGGCUCAAUUCGAUGCAACGCGAAGAACCUUACCUGGCCUUGACAUGUACGUAGUAGAAGGGUGAAAGCCUGACGAGAUAGCAAUAUCAGCGUACACAGGUGCUGCAUGGCUGUCGUCAGCUCGUGUCGUGAGAUGUUGGGUUAAGUCCCGCAACGAGCGCAACCCCUGUGUCCUGUUGCCACCCGGCCGAAAGGCUGGAGCACUCUGGACAGACUGCCUCGCUUAAACGAGAGGAAGGUGGGGAUGACGUCAAGUCAGUAUGGCCCUUACGGCCAGGGCUGCACACGUACUACAAUGCCCGGCACAGAGGGAAGCGAGACCGUCAGGUGGAGCAAAUCCCCCAAAACCGGGCCCAGUUCAGAUUGUCGUCUGCAACUCGACGGCAUGAAGCUGGAAUCGCUAGUAAUGGCGCAUCAGCUACGGCGCCGUGAAUACGUUCCCAGGCCUUGUACACACCGCCCGUCACAUCAUGAAAGCCGUUUGUACCCGAAGUCGCCGUGUUAACUGCAAAGAGACAGGUUCCGAAGGUAUGGAUGGUGAUUGGGAUG